rnacentral:snRNA from 1 species
GGAUGCGAGGGCGAUCUGGCUGCAAAAUCUGUCACCCCAUUGAUUGCCAGGGUUGAUUAGGCUGAUCUGGCUGACUAGGCAGGUAUCUCCUUCCUCCCUCACCGCUCCAUAUCCAUCCUUCCCGAAGCUGCAUGCUCAGUAGAAGAGGAUGACCAUCUUCAAUAGAGGAGAAUCUUUCUUUGGUCAAGGGUAUACGAGUAGCUGUGUUCCCCUGUUUAGAACCUCCAUACAAGCUCUGAGGAAGUACGAACUCAGUACAGCCUACAAAUAAAUGAUGUCCAAUGUGCCUAGUGCAUACCAUAAUU